rnacentral:rRNA from 1 species
GACCUCAAAUCAGGUAGGACUACCCGCUGAACUUAAGCAUAUCAAUAAGCGGAGGAAAAGAAACUAACAAGGAUUCCCCUAGUAACUGCGAGUGAAGCGGGAAAAGCUCAAAUUUAAAAUCUGGCGGUCUUUUGGCUGUCCGAGUUGUAAUCUAGAGAAGUGUUAUCCGCGCUGGACCGUGUACAAGUCUCCUGGAAUGGAGCAUCAUAGAGGGUGAGAAUCCCGUCUUUGACAUGGACUGCCAGGGCUUUGUGAUGCGCUCUCAAAGAGUCGAGUUGUUUGGGAAUGCAGCUCAAAAUGGGUGGUAAAUUCCAUCUAAAGCUAAAUAUUGGCGAGAGACCGAUAGCGAACAAGUACCGUGAGGGAAAGAUGAAAAGAACUUUGGAAAGAGAGUUAAACAGUACGUGAAAUUGCUGAAAGGGAAACGCUUGAAGUCAGUCGCGUUGUCCAGGGAUCAACCUUGCUUUUGCUUGGUGCACUUCCUGGUUUGACGGGUCAGCAUCAAUUUUGACUAUUGGAAAAAGAUCAAGGGAAUGUGGCAUCCUUGGAUGUGUUUAUAGCCUUUGGUCACAUACAAUGGUUGGGAUUGAGGAACUCAGCACGCCGCAAGGCCGGGU